UACGGAGGAUCCAAGCGUUAUCCGGAAUCAUUGGGUUUAAAGGGUCCGUAGGCGGUUUACUAAGUCAGUGGUGAAAACCCAUCGCUCAACGGUGGAACGGCCAUUGAUACUGUUAAACUUGAAUUAUUAGGAAGUAACUAGAAUAUGUAGUGUAGCGGUGAAAUGCUUAGAGAUUACAUGGAAUACCAAUUGCGAAGGCAGGUUACUACUAAUGGAUUGACGCUGAUGGACGAAAGCGUGGGUAGCGAACAGG
rnacentral:rRNA from 1 species